rnacentral:rRNA from 1 species
AACGAACGCUGGCGGCGUGCUUAACACAUGCAAGUCGAACGUGAAAGACUUCGGUCGAGUAAAGUGGCGAACGGGUGAGUAACGCGUGGGUAAUCUGCCCUCGGGCGGGGGAUAACCUCUCGAAAGGGGGCGUAAUACCGCAUGAGACCACGGCUUCUUGGAGCUGUGGGAAAAGGUGGGUCGCAAGACCAGCCACCUGAGGAUGAGCCCGCGUACCAUUAGGUAGUUGGUGGGGUAAUGGCCUACCAAGCCUGAGAUGGUUAGCUGGUCUGAGAGGACGAUCAGCCACACUGGGACUGAGACACGGACCAGACUCCUACGGGAGGCAGCAGUGGGGAAUAUUGGACAAUGGGCGAAAGCCUGAUCCAGCAAUGCCGCGUGUGUGAAGAAGGCCUGAGGGUUGUAAAGCACUUUCAAUCGUGAAGAAAAGUUAGCAGGCUAAUACCCUGUGACCUUGACGUUAACGAUACAAGAAGCACCGGCUAACUCCGUGCCAGCAGCCG